UACGUAGGUGGCGAGCGUUGUCCGGAUUUAUUGGGCGUAAAGGGCGCGCAGGUGGUGUGGUGGGUCCGUCGUGAAAUCUCCUGGCUCAACUGGGAGGGUGCGGCGGAGACUGCCAGACUGGAGGCACUCAGAGGCCGGUGGAAUUCCCGGUGUAGUGGUGAAAUGCGUAGAGAUCGGGAGGAACACCAGUGGCGAAGGCGGCCGGCUGGGCCGACCCUGACGCUGAGGCGCGAAGGCGUGGGGAGCGAACGGG
rnacentral:rRNA from 1 species